UACGUAGGGUGCAAGCGUUGUCCGGAUUUAUUGGGCGUAAAGAGCGUGUAGGCGGCUUGGCAAGUCCGCUGUGAAAACUCGAGGCUUAACCUCGAGACGUCGGUGGAAACUGCCUGGCUAGAGUCCGGAAGAGGAGAGUGGAAUUCCUGGUGUAGCGGUGAAAUGCGCAGAUAUCAGGAGGAACACCAGUGGCGAAGGCGACUUCCUGGCCUGUUAUUGACGCUGAGGCGCGAAAGCUAGGGGAGCAAACAGG
rnacentral:rRNA from 1 species